rnacentral:rRNA from 1 species
AUUGAACGCUGGCGGCAUGCCUUACACAUGCAAGUCGAACGGUAACAGGUCUUCGGAUGCCGACGAGUGGCGAACGGGUGAGUAAUACAUCGGAACGUGCCUAGUAGUGGGGGAUAACUACUCGAAAGAGUGGCUAAUACCGCAUGAGAUCUACGGAUGAAAGCAGGGGAUCGCAAGACCUUGUGCUACUAGAGCGGCUGAUGGCAGAUUAGGUAGUUGGUGGGAUAAAAGCUUACCAAGCCGACGAUCUGUAGCUGGUCUGAGAGGACGAUCAGCCACACUGGGACUGAGACACGGCCCAGACUCCUACGGGAGGCAGCAGUGGGGAAUUUUGGGCAAUGGGCGCAAGCCUGAUCCAGCAAUGCCGCGUGCAGGAUGAAGGCCUUCGGGUUGUAAACUGCUUUUGUACGGAACGAAAAGCCCCGGGUUAAUACCCUGGGGUCAUGACGGUACCGUAAGAAUAAGCACCGGCUAACUACGUGCCAGCCGCCGCUGUAA